UGUGUCAGCCGCCGCGGUAAUACGGAGGAUGCGAGCGUUAUCCGGAUUUAUUGGGUUUAAAGGGUGCGUAGGCGGAAAAAUAAGUCAGUUGUGAAAGUUUGCGGCUCAACCGUAAAAUUGCAGUUGAUACUGUUUUUCUUGAGUGUACAUAAGGUAGGCGGAAUUCGUGGUGUAGCGGUGAAAUGCUUAGAUAUCACGAAGAACUCCAAUUGCGAAGGCAGCUUACCGGGGUACAACUGACGCUGAGGCACGAAAGUGUGGGUAUCAAACAGGAUUAGAUACCCUGGUAGUCCACACAGUAAACGAUGAAUACUCGCUGUUUGCGAUAUACAGUAAGCGGCCAAGCGAAAGCAUUAAGUAUUCCACCUGGGGAGUACGCCGGCAACGGUGAAACUCAAAGGAAUUGACGGGGGCCCGCACAAGCGGAGGAACAUGUGGUUUAAUUCGAUGAUACGCGAGGAACCUUACCCAGGCUUAAAUUGCAGAUGAAUAUAGUGGAAACAUUAUAGCCAGCAAUGGCAUCUGUGAAGGUGCUGCAUGGUUGUCGUCAGCUCGUGCCGUGAGGUGUCGGCUUAAGUGCCAUAACGAGCGCAACCCUUGUCGAUAGUUACUAACAGAUAAUGCUGAGGACUCUAUCGAGACUGCCAUCGUAAGAUGUGAGGAAGGUGGGGAUGACGUCAAAUCAGCACGGCCCUUACGUCCGGGGCUACACACGUGUUACAAUGGAGGGUACAGAAGGCAGCUACACGGCGACGUGAUGCUAAUCCCGAAAACCUUUCUCAGUUCGGAUCGAAGUCUGCAACCCGACUUCGUGAAGCUGGAUUCGCUAGUAAUCGCGCAUCAGCCAUGGCGCGGUGAAUACGUUCCCGGGCCUUGUACACACCGCCCGUCAAGCCAUGGAAGCCGGGGGUACCUGAAGUACGUAACCGCAAGGAGCGUCCUAGGGUAAAACUGGUAACUGGGGCUAAGUCGUAACAAGGUAGCCA
rnacentral:rRNA from 1 species